AAUGAAGAUAUAUCAAAUUUAAUCAAACGAAGCGCUAAAAAGUCCCAAAUUAAAAUAAAAGUAAAACCUCACGAACGCUAAAUUAAAUAGGAUUCUACGAAUACCAUUCACUGUUCGAACUGACAAUUAUCUUAAUUUUCCCCAAUAUUAAAAUGUAUUUCUACGUAAAUUUUUAAAAUAAUCAACCCCAAAUUCAUUAUGCCUACAUUACAAAAUCCGAAUCAUUGUCACUAGUCGUGAGCUACAAAAAGGAACAAAAACUAUUCACUACUGUAUAAGGAUGACAAAUGUCCGUGUCCAUUGAUCGUGCUUAUCGUAUCAUUAACAGUUCUGCCACCUUUGAACAAGGUAAUAGCCGUGUGAGGAGUGAUGACAACAUUUUUGCUUGCUUGUCUUGUAAUUCUGGUAUCCACAGCAGUAGGAACCUCCCGAUUUCAACAACAGGUUGUAGCCGCAGCAAACAUGAGUAGAGGAAUUGUAGUUGACCGUUCCACAACAAGAAGUGCCUUUUGAUCUUGAACGUAUAUUACCGUUGCAGCAUAUGUGAACACUCACGUGAUAGAUAUUUGCGCCACAGCAGCGAGUGUAGGAUGAAUACGAUUUUGAUGUGACGUUAUUGUUGCAACAUUGAUCACCAGACGAAUUUGCCAAGAUAUUGCCGUUACAACAAACUGCUGUUAAUGGAUUAUAGUUUUGUGUUCCGCAGCACGCAGUACCAGAGCUUCUUCUGAGCACUUUAUAGCUGCAACAGACUUGUGUGCCUGGAUCGUAGUGUGUGUUUCCACAACAACUGAAAUGGGAAGCGGAUAUGAUCUUGUUGCCGCAACAUUUGUAGUUCAGUGGAUCAUAAACUUCAGAUGCACAGCAUUGAAAGUUAGGAGGAAUAUUAGUGUGAACCUUUCCAUUGCAACAAACAGCCCUGUAUGGAUCAUAGUUGACAGCACCGCAACAAGACAAACCAUUGGUUAUAUCAAGGAUGCUGCCUUGACAACAGAUAUGCUGAGUUGAGUCGUAAUUUCGGUCACCACAACAGCUCGUACCAUGCUUAAUGGCAUGUACAUUCCGUACACAGCAGAUUUGGGUCUUGGCAUCGUAGGGAUUACUAGAACCACAAGAAGCU